AUGAAACAGGUUUCCUCAGAUAGA
rnacentral:piRNA from 1 species